GACGAACGCUGGCGGCGUGCUUAACACAUGCAAGUCGAACGCUGAACCCGCUUCGGUGGGGGAUGAGUGGCGAACGGGUGAGUAACACGUGGGCAACCUGCCCCCGGCUCUGGGAUAACUCCAAGAAAUUGGGGCUAAUACCGGAUGUGACCGCUGGCCGCAUGGUCUGGUGGUGGAAAGGGUUUCCGGCUGGGGAUGGGCCCGCGGCCUAUCAGCUUGUUGGUGGGGUAGUGGCCUACCAAGGCGACGACGGGUAGCCGGCCUGAGAGGGUGACCGGCCACACUGGGACUGAGACACGGCCCAGACUCCUACGGGAGGCAGCAGUGGGGAAUAUUGCGCAAUGGGCGGAAGCCUGACGCAGCGACGCCGCGUGGGGGAUGACGGCCAUCGGGUUGUAAACCUCUUUCAGCAGGGACGAAGCGCAAGUGACGGUACCUGCAGAAGAAGCACCGGCCAACUACGUG
rnacentral:rRNA from 1 species